CUACUAUUUUUCAAUUCCCGCUUAUUCAAAAUCGCAACCCCAAAUUGUUUGAAAAAAAAAUCUCAACCCCAAAUCGGAGCUAAAUCACACGCUAAAUCAGAACGCUCUAUAUCGGAAUUGAAUCACGCUUCUUCUUCACUCUCGCACAUUUGUUCCAUUCUGAGCAAAAUCGAAGCUGAAUCUUCUUCGGAGCAUGAAGAUUUCGUCACUGGACUGUAUUGACUUGAAAUAUUGCUCGAUUUCCUAUUGAACUUUUGAAUUUGGACUUCAAGGAACUUAACUGACAUGUGAUGUUUCAGAGAUAGUAAUACUAAACCUAAUUUCUUAAAGUCAAGAAGGAAUCAUGACUGACCAUUGAUUUGAUUAAAGCUUCCGUCAAAGUUCCGAAGGGGUAGGCGUAGGCCAUUUAAGGCUCUUUUGUUUGGAAAUUUAUCAUGGAAUGAACUUGGAGGGAAUGCUUGGUGGUUUGACUGAUUUCUAGCUCAACAUAUUGCAAUAUUUUCUUAUUUCAUGACAAUUUUAAUGUAUGCAAUAAUCCCAUGAAUGACAUUCGUACCAGAAAUUAUGGAGUGUUCCACACCAUGCCUAGUCUCUUUCUUGCUUCUUUUUGGUUCCCGCUUUCAGAGGGAAGAUAAUAGUCAAAGAAGGAACCAAUUGUUGUGGAUCUUGUCAUAGCCAAAGCAAUAAUUUGGAUCUUUCCAAGCACUCGAUCAUCCUUUGCUUAAACACAUUCUAAUGCAAUUGUAAUUUCUAUGCAAUUCUAUUAUGAUUUAGGCUUACUUUUGUCUAUAUCUAUUAGUAGAUUAUUUUGUUCUUUGUUUA